rnacentral:rRNA from 1 species
UACGUAGGGGGCAAGCGUUGUCCGGAUUUACUGGGCGUAAAGAGCGUGUAGGCGGCCAAGCAGGUCCGUUGUGAAAACUGGAGGCUUAACCUCGAGACGUCGAUGGAAACCGUAUGGCUAGAGUCCGGAAGAGGAGAGUGGAAUUCCUGGUGUAGCGGUGAAAUGCGCAGAUAUCAGGAAGAACACCCGUGGCGAAGGCGGCUCUCUGGGACGGUACUGACGCUGAGACGCGAAAGCGUGGGGAGCGAACAGG